GCCUAGAAGACAUGGGUAGCACAAGGUUGUUACUAGAACAUGCCAUACUCUCUUCUAGGUUGGUGAAAGUCCCAAACUUUGUCUCCCCACCCAGAGGACAACUGGUCAGGAAAUCUGCCUGUUUCUUGUCUCACCCUCUAAUCCACACUCUGCCUAACGCUGCGCCCUACCUCACAUUCCUAUUGACAUCUGCUGCAGAUCACACCCUUGUGAUGGACAAACUGCUCAGCACAGUCCCACCCACCCAGCCUCCUUGUCCUGGGCACGAGAUUUUUGCCUCCCUGAUUUGGAGUAUUGGGCCCUUCCUAGAGAGCUGCCAGAUGAGGGACAUUUCCUUCACCUGGAGAAGGAUGGGGAGGAGUCAGCACUUGACAUCUGCCACCCCACCCCAGAAUCAGUGCCACCCUUCGCCGGCCCACCCAAACCUGGUCUCGUAUAUCAUCCCGCAGCUCCACCAGGAUCUGGUUGAAGAGGAACUCAGAGGCUCCUCCCGGCUCACCUGCAUCCUCAAAUACGCCUUCUGUCCAGUCCUAAUCUCCAGCCCAU